CGACUACUUUCAUGGAUCAUCGACGCCAUCCACGAGGGACCGCCGCUCUCCAAGGAUAAACCACGAGCAGUCCCAGCAUAAACGAACCAUGAGGGUAAGAACGAAAAGACAACGGGAGACUAUAUUUGGUCAACACAGGAGCCAUCAACGCAGCCGGCCGGCGACGGGGGAUCGGGUCAGUGGCCGCCAGCCACUCAACACGAUCUAGAAGCCGCUGAGGAGCUUCUGAGCGGCAACGUAGACCAGGCCGCUCUGCAGCAGGCCAACGCGCAGAACAUGUCAGCUAGGGAUCCGCGGACAGCACCACCGAAGCCUCGGGACCGCUCUCCAGACAUGGUCAUCAUCAAACACAUCGAAACACCCUGCCAUCUGCAAGAGAGCAGCCAUUCUUCCCCCCNN
rnacentral:lncRNA from 1 species